rnacentral:tRNA from 1 species
ACUAAAAUGUCUGAUUAAAGUAAUAAAUUGUAAAUUUAUUUAAGAAAUAAAAUUCUUUUAGUA